UAUCCUAAUUCCAUCCAUAUUGUUGGACUAUCUGACGUGAAGCUACGAGAGCUACGGCCUAGCCCCCUUUCAGCAGGCCGAUUGCCCCCUGCAGAGUGAUCUGUGGAGUGCAGGGCUCCUGGGGCAGUCCCGUGGGCCGUGCCUCACCUGGUGUGCCCACCGGGCAUAUGUGAGCACGUGCGCACUUGGCAGUCCCUUCGCCCCGUCCCCAUGUUCCCUGUGGCAGCGGAACCCACAGUCUUCAGGAAGAGCAGCUGCGCUUGCUGGCUUUGCUGAUGCAAACGACCCUUCUUUCGUGUAUCUGCUAUCCCCGUUCCGUUCGUGUACAUGCCAUGCCUCUUCUGAAUUUGGUGUCCUGGCCUCUUUAGCAGCCUGCUCCCUUUGUGCUGGCCUGAUCAAGGCAUUUCUGAUGCCCUUCUUCAAAAAGUGGAACGUUGAAGCCGAAUCUCGUGCGGGUUGAAUGUUGAGAUUCCCAAAAGGAAGCGAUGCAGAGAGUAGUUUUCUCCAACUUCGGCUCUCGAGGCCUCCUGGGAGGGCUUCUCGCAGAACCACGUUGCCUCCAGCCAUCCCUCCGUCCUUCUGAUUAGCUUCAGAGCCUGGGCAAGGUAUGAGCGUGUGACCAUCUUGCAAGAAGGGAACCGAGGAUCGCAAACACCUGAUUUUCUUCAGGCCACACCGCCAGUUGGCGGCAGGGCUGGGCAGGGCUCGGCAGGGGUACGCCAUGCUCCCCGAGGUCUCCUAGAAUGAUGGGAAGACUCACGUCGCCUACUGUGGUGCCUCCAGCUACAGGAUGGCCGAAGGCCCUGCGGAUUGCCCGUGGCACGUUUCUCUUCGGGGGCCAGGUGUGCAACCAGGCCCCGCGCCGCCGUGCUGGCAGCUGAGGGUCUGAGAGGACUUUGCUUGGGCCACGGGACAAAGAAGUGUCAGACGUCCGAGUGGGACCUGGAGAGCCGGGAC